UUGGAGGGCAAGUCUGGUGCCAGCAGCCGCGGUAAUUCCAGCUCCAAUAGCGUAUAUUAAAGUUGUUGCAGUUAAAAAGCUCGUAGUUGAAUUUCGGGGUCAGUAGGUUGGUCAUGCCACUGGUAUGUACUGGUCUCACCGAUUCCUCCUUCCUGAUGAACUGUAAUGCCAUUAAUUUGGUGUUGCAGGGAAUCUGGACUGUUACUUUGAAAAAAUUAGAGUGUUUAAAGCAGGCUAACGCCUGAAUACAUUAGCAUGGAAUAAUGAAAUAGGACGUUCGAUCCUAUUUUGUUGGUUUCUAGGAUUGACGUAAUGAUUAAUAGGGAUAGUUGGGGGCAUUAGUAUUCAAUUGUCAGAGGUGAAAUUCUUGGAUUUAUUGAAGACUAACUACUGCGAGAGCAUUUGCCAAGGAUGUUUUCAUUAAUCAAGAACGAAAGUUAGGGGAUCGAAGACGAUCAGAUACCGUCGUAGUCUUAACCAUAAACUAUGCCGACUAGGGAUCGGAUGAUGUUAAUUUUUUAAUGACUCAUUCGGCGCCUUACGGGAAAC
rnacentral:rRNA from 1 species